rnacentral:tRNA from 1 species
GGGGGGAUAGCUCAGUGGUAGAGUGCCUGCCUGGCAUGCACAAGGUCCUGGGUUCAGUCCCCAGUGCCUCCA